rnacentral:lncRNA from 1 species
UGAAGAGGAAAAAUGAUUCUGAACAGGAAAGUGUGGUGUUUGUCCUUCGAAAGGGAAAGAGAAUAAGUGAAAAUAGAAAAAUAAAUUUCACUAAAAGUAUGAACAGUGAAGUUUGAAAAACAAUUCCGAGAAGUCCUACCCAUGGAGAUUAAGCAGGAGAGAGGCAUUGCCCCAUUGUACCCCAGAUGGUUUUGCAGGUGCUGGUGACUUGUGGAUCAGAGGCCUCGAGCUGGUGGGAGUCUGGGACCAUGGAAUUCGCCUGGGGCUGCCGCAAGUUCUAUGUUAAGAGGAACAGCAUCCAGCUGUGGCAAAAGAGAACAUUAACUGUAACUUGAAGACUGAAUCCAAGGUGAGCAUAAGAAGAAAGCUGCUGGCGUCUGUAGCAACAUGGCUAUGAAGUCCAGCCUCAUCGAAGUCCAGAUGGCCUCCGUUUCCAGGACUAUGUUUCUUUAAUACUGUCUGCCUGGAGUCUCCUCUCCCUUCAAUCCCCUUCUCACUCCUACCUUGUCUUGACAUCAAUCCUUACAUGUUUUCUGGCUCCUGACAACCUGCUUCAGAGAGUCUAGUCCUGUUUCUGGCAGUGCUGCCUGGGAUCUCUGUCCAACGCAGAAACCAACACAACAACACUUGGGAAAUUCCUAAAUUAAUAAUAAAAAAACUUAGCCUUUUUUUUUUGGAAAAUUAGAUGAACAUUAAACAGCACAAGCUUCAGAGAAAAACAGAUUUAACUUAAAUUCCUC